rnacentral:lncRNA from 1 species
AGCGAUGAUAACCAAAAAUUUCUAGCAAAAAUUAGACGAAAUAAUAUGUAAAAAGAGGUACCAAAUAGUAAAUAUAUAUUAAUUAUAUUAAAUAACAAAAUAUUUCAUAAAUUAAGGACAUUUUAGGCAGUUUGGGAUGUGUAUUAAGUAUAAUACUGAAAUGAAAAACUCGAUAGGUUGUGUAUUAAGUAAGGGGUGUGUAUUAAGAUAUUAGGGGUGUGUAUUUAAAAUUUCUCAAAAUUAUAUUCAAAGAAAAGAAAGAAAAAUCAAAUUAAAAUGUAGAAACCAAUAUCUUGUUUAUACAAUUAAAAGGAAAAAAAAACAAGAAAAAGAAGAAGAAAAGAGGAGCAAAGAUUUGAAACCAACUCCAGGUUCGCAUAUGAUAUAUGAUAGUUUAUACUCUCAACAAAAUUAGAGGUACUAGCUUAUCUUGUUUUCCUUUUCAACACAAUGUUACCGAUAUAUGAUAUCUAUACUUAGGGUUUACUAGCUAAUGAAUUGGUUUUGAAGUUUAGGGAAACUUGCAGCUAAUGAUCGAGAAAUUUUUCAGUGCUACAGGAGGACCACGUGGUAGUCUGACGUGGUCCUACAUUCCAAUUAAAUUUAGACAUGUAGAUUUUUUUCAUGAAAAAUUAUUUCAACUAUUUUGUUAAAGACUAUUUUAGGUUUUAUGUUAUUUUUUAAAUACUAAACCCUAAUCCCUAAUCCCUAAACCCUAAACCCUAUACCCUAUACCCUAACCCUAAACUCUAAACCCUAAACCCUAAACCCUAGGUUGAACUUGCUAAAUAUCCAUGAAUGUCAUUUCACAAAAAAUAAAAAUAUUAGUUAAUAUUUUAGUUGUAAAAAAUCCACAUGUCUAAAUUUGAUUGGAAUGUAGGACCACGUCAAACUGCCACGUGGUCCUCCCGUAGCACUUAAAAAUUUCUCGCUAAUGAUCCAUGCCAAAAUUGAUUAUAUAAUUUAUUACAUAUUAGCCACAGAGGCAUGGUACUCUUUUCUUCUUUCCUUCGUCUGUGUACUUCUACUUUGGUCUUGUGUCAAAUUAUUUUCUUUGAUCGACGAUCUUCUUGUUUUUUUUUUUGUUAAUGCAUAUUAACCUUAAUUUUGAGAAUUUUACUUCCACUAAUAAAAUCAUAUUUUUAAAUUAUCAAGAGUAAACUUAAAAAAAUAUAUAUAUAAUUUUAAUAAAUUAAACAAACUAUAAUAUAUUUUUACUAUAUUAGAAAACCAGGCAUUUUUAGUGUAAAGGCUUCACCAAACUUUUGAAAUUCUCAUGUUGCCCACGAAAAUCAUAAAGGGUGUUGUUAGAUGUAUCCAACAAACUUUUUAAUAGACCCAGCAAUUAAAAAUUAUCCUGUAUUUUCCAGUUUUGCCCUUGUUAUAAUAAACCCAGCAAACAUCAUCUCUAACACCACGUUGAGACCAGAAAGAGAACUAAUAUGGGGGAGGAAAUCAGGAGGAGCUUUCCCAUGAUCUAAGUAUAGAAUCUUGAGAAGAUUUGAUGUACGGGAUAUCGGAACCGAUUGCCUUCAA